UUACGGCCAUAUCACACUGAAAUACUAGCUCCUGUACGAUCACCGAAGUUAAGCAACUUCGAGCCUGGUCAGUAACUAGAUGGGUAACCGCUUAAGUAUACCAACUGUUGUAAG